CGGGGAGUGGCGCAGCCUGGCUAGCGCGCUGCGUUCGGGUCGCAGAGGUCCGGGGUUCAAAUCCCCGCUCCCCGA
rnacentral:tRNA from 1 species